rnacentral:rRNA from 1 species
ACGCUGGCGGCGCGCCUAACACAUGCAAGUCGAACGAGCAAAGAGGAGCUUGCUUCUCUGAGCGAGUGGCGAACGGGUGAGUAACGCGUGAGGAACCUGCCUCAAAGGAGGGGGACAACAGUUGGAAACGACUGCUAAUACCGCAUAAGCCCACGGGUCGGCAUCGACCAGAGGGAAAAGGAGCAAUCCGCUUUGAGAUGGCCUCGCGCCCGAUUAGCUAGUUGGUGAGGUAACGGCCCACCAAGGCGACGAUCGGUAGCCGGACUGAGAGGUUGAACGGCCACAUUGGGACUGAGACACGGCCCAGACUCCUACGGGAGGCAGCAGUGGGGAAUAUUGCACAAUGGGGGAAACCCUGAUGCAGCGACGCCGCGUGGAGGAAGAAGGUCUUCGGAUUGUAAACUCCUGUUGUUGAGGAAGAUAAUGACGGUACUCAACAAGGAAGUGACGGCUAACUACGUG